GACAAUAUCAUGUUGAAACACCGGUCCUUGUACUAUCAUCGAAGUUAAGCAACGUCAAGCCUGAUCAGUACCAAGGUGGGUGACAGUUUGGGAAUACCAGGUGCUGUAAU